CAUGGUGGGUAUGUAAUACACAGCAGGCAUUGAUGAUAAUAUCCCUCUAAAUGAAUAUACUUAUGAGAUUCAGAACUUGCUGGCUUUCCAACAUAGAAUUUGUGUAACACUAAGGGAGUAAAGCAAUAUAAUAUAAUCUGAAUGAACAAACUAUUUCUCACUGCUGCUCAAAAAAAAAAAAAAAAAUCCAAAGAGAACACCCCCGCCCCAGUGAUGAUUGUAUAAUAUGGCUUUUAUUAUGACUCCCAGAGAUGUAGUAGUCAGGUGGCAAGGACUCUGCAGUAACAGUGGAAAACUCAGAGGAAUAACUGACCAGUCUUGUGAAUACUAUGGCCACCUGCACGGUCUAUUUAGCCUUGAAACUGUGAGCCUUUCUAUUAAUGAAAUACUUAUCUUGUAAACUCUCCUGACUCUUGGAAUGUCUCCUGGC
rnacentral:lncRNA from 1 species